AAGCUGGCAACUAAUCUGUAUAAUCAUCUUCAAGGAAAGGCAAGAAAAUAGUGUGCAGCAGCAAAGCUUUACUUUUUUUAAGAAAGCAAAGCUUCAGCUAUUUCUUCAGCAAGGAACCAAAUUCAGAAAUCAAAGUCCAAACAGAGAAUAAAUGUUUCCCUAUAGAGCUUAUAGGCAAAGAGGUAAAAACAAGCAGAUCUAAAUACCAAAUGCUAAUGUAAUAUUGGUAUCCAUAAGCAGUAGCUUCAGAUCCUAAAAUUCAUCAGCACUGCAACCACAUAUUUUUCACUCUUCUGUCUAUUUCCCCUUUCAUAUCAUUCAACUCUUUGUUUAUUGGAUCUUCAUAAACACCAAAAAUCUCAAGGAUUUACAUGCACAUUAGAAAUUAAACUUGCCUUAGCAUUCUAUUUGUAAACUGCACCAAAAGAGAGAAGCCACAGGCAUCUAGGGCGAAGAUGAACUCGCACGUAUGUACACUGGGAAGCAUGCAUAUGAAAGUUAGAAGCAUACGUUUACCUAUGGUUGUAAUCACUAUGAAUAGAAUUAGCAACUACUAUUUAUUCGUUACUUGAAUGGAAUCAACAACGGCUUUCAUGCAUUGCAUAUACGACGGCUGGCCCUAUAUGCCUCCUCUACCUUAUCUCGUAACUACUACUAAUAAUUGUUGACUGGGCUCGGCUGCUGUCUAAACAAAGACAACUGCAUUCAAGCACAGGGCAGUACCUCCUAAGACUGAAGCUUUAAUUAACAGAAGCAAGCAUCUGCCAAUUUAUUGAAGGAAGAACACCACGCCUGAAACACAGCAGGCCUAUCAACUUAAUCCAGACAUAUAAAUCUGUGGUCACACCAGCACCAUCACACCUAAAAACUUAGGAAAAGUCUGUAGUCCAUGUCACAAUUAUAAAUACUAUGUUUUCACCUUAAAUUAUCAUAAAAGAGAAAUAAAAAUACAAGAGUAAUAUAAUGCAGACCAAUGCACAACACAUCAUGUGAAGAUUUCCAAAGAUAAGCAAUCAGAUCAGUUCAGUUGCACGCAACAUGUUCAUACAACUACUUCCACAAACAGUUCAAGUAGGCUUUCAUAAACUCACUUGCACCAAUCCAUCCCUUGCGAGUAAACAGCAACCGCUAUCCAAUCACUUAUCCAGAAUGACCCAAAGCACCAAACUGAACAUAACUCUAUGACGACACUGUUCUGAAAUAUUUUCCUUCUUCAAGCUAAUUAAUAAAUUAAUAAAUUCACCCAAACUAAAUUAUCUUCUUAGCUGCUUUAAUGGAGCAUAGUAAGCACUUGUCGUUGCUGUCUGGACCCUUUUUUAGGCAGUGAUGCAUGCGCAUUUCACAC
rnacentral:lncRNA from 1 species